GGCCCGAUAGCACAACUGGUUAAUGCAUCUCUGAAAAUUGCCAAUUGGUGAAGUUUCUUUGUGGAGAAGAUCUCGGUUCAAACCCGGGUCGGGCCA